UUCUAGUUAGCUCUGUUGGUAGAGCGGUCCACUGGAAAUGGAGCGGUCCCUAGUUCGAUACCAGAACCAGGCG
rnacentral:tRNA from 1 species